rnacentral:misc_RNA from 1 species
CCAAUAGCGUAUAUUAAAGUUGUUGCAGUUAAAAAGCUCGUAGUUGAACUUCGGGAUCAAUUAGUUGGUCAUGCCUUGGUAUGUACUGAUUUUAUUGGUUCUCACCUUCUAAAGAACUAUAAUGUCAUUUAUUUGAUGUUAUAGGGAAUUAGGACUGUUACCUUGAAAAAAUUAGAGUGUUUAAAGCAGGCUCACGCUUGAAUACAUUAGCAUGGAAUAAUGAAAUAGGACAUCGCAUUCUAUUUUGUUGGUUUCUAGGAUCGAUGUAAUGAUUAAUAGGGAUAGUUGGGGGCAUUAGUAUUCAAUUGUCAGAGGUGAAAUUCUUGGAUUUAUUGAAGACUAACUACUGCGAAAGCAUUUGCCAAGGAUGUUUUCAUUAAUCAAGAACGAAAGGUAGGGGAUCGAAGACGAGCAGAUACCGUCGUAGUCUUAACCAUAAACUAUGCCGACUAGGGAUCGGAUGAUGUUGAUUUUUUAAUGACUCAUUCGGCACCUUACG